UGCGGCCCGAGUGUUCUUGUUUCUGUGGAUCAGUGGCCUAAGCUACAAAGCUGUUCCUUCCAGCAGUUCUUUUCCAUUUGCUGACAGCCUUCGCUAUUAAUCUGCCCAGCAUUGGGAUUGGCUUGAAUUGGCUCCUACGAACAAUUCUAGAGAGCACGAGCCACGACGAAGUUACUGCUUUUGCGGCGCAUUGGACUUUCUGCGCCGGCACGCCAAAGGACUUUUUUUCGAAACGAACUCUGCUGACCUGCGCGACCGCGUACACCGUCAUACGCCAUAAUCAUCACCGACAGCGUGGUGCUAACUGAAGGACGCCUCACGCACCGGUGCCAUUUGUCGGGGAUCACGUGUUCUGUUUCAAACGCCUAAUCGUAUCCAUUGUUACUAUUUUACCAGAUGGCUAAUAAAUAUUAAUUUCUGUAGACAUCAGCAAA
rnacentral:lncRNA from 1 species